GACGAACGCUGGCGGCGUGCUUAACACAUGCAAGUCGAACGGUGAAGCCUUCGGGUGGAUCAGUGGCGAACGGGUGAGUAACACGUGAGCAAUCUGCCCUUGACUCUGGGAUAACUUCGGGAAACCGGAGCUAAUACCGGAUAUGACAUCUGGCCGCAUGGUCUGGGUGUGGAAAGAUUUAUCGGUCAAGGAUGAGCUCGCGGCCUAUCAGCUUGUUGGGGGGUAAUGGCCCACCAAGGCGACGACGGGUAGCCGGCCUGAGAGGGCGACCGGCCACACUGGGACUGAGACACGGCCCAGACUCCUACGGGAGGCAGCAGUGGGGAAUAUUGCGCAAUGGGCGGAAGCCUGGCGCAGCGACGCCGCGUGAGGGAUGAAGGCCU
rnacentral:rRNA from 1 species